rnacentral:rRNA from 1 species
GACGAACGCUGGCGGCGUGCUUAACACAUGCAAGUCGAACGGAAAGGCCCUGCUUUUGUGGGGUGCUCGAGUGGCGAACGGGUGAGUAACACGUGAGUAACCUGCCCUUGACUUUGGGAUAACUUCAGGAAACUGGGGCUAAUACCGGAUAGGAGCUCCUGCUGCAUGGUGGGGGUUGGAAAGUUUCGGCGGUUGGGGAUUGACUCGCGGCUUAUCAGCUUGUUGGUGGGGUAGUGGCUUACCAAGGCUUUGACGGGUAGCCGGCCUGAGAGGGUGACCGGCCACAUUGGGACUGAGAUACGGCCCAGACUCCUACGGGAGGCAGCAGGGGGGAAUAUUGCACAAUGGGCGGAAGCCUGAUGCAGCAACGCCGCGUGCGGGAUGACGGCCUUCGGGUUGUAAACCGCUUUCGCCUGUGACGAAGCGUGAGUGACGGUAAUGGGUAAAGAAGCACCGGCUAACUACGUG